UGGGGUCGCAAAGAGUCGGACACGACUGAGAUACUGAGUAUGCACAGCUGAGAGCAAAGCCUUUUCAAAACCCAAGGCCCCCAGGUGAUUCCCACCAAGCAGUCAUCCCCCACCUCCCCUCCCCUCCUUCAAGGGCACAGCACAGGCCACACCCAUCCUAGAAAGAGCCUCUCCCCAGGGAAUCAGGCUGACAUUCUUUGUUUCUAGAAGUUCCCGCCCUAACCCCUCCCUUUCUGAGGUCUCUUGAGUGCUGAGUGUGAGGCUGCAGCUCCGGGCUCCUAAACGCGGGUCUUCCUCCUGCGUUAUUUCAGAAACCCUCAGAGCCUGGGUCUGGUAGCCCAGUUGGCGGGUCCAUUAUUGUCUCUCAUGAAUUGUUCUGCGGUCUGCUCUCUGUAACGCAAGAAGAAAGGAGAAGAACUCGCAGGGGUGGUCUGCAACGAGCGUGCAGGAAAGCAGUUGCAGGUUUAAGAGUUGUGUUGUUGCAUUUGAAGGUAUUUUCUCAACAUGUAGUUAUGAGUUUGCAACAUAAUAUCCCCAGAGAAGACACAGAGCAGGAGGAAGAAGAGGAGGAAAUGGCAGCUUCUCAGGNNNNNNNNNNNNNNNNNNNNNNNNNNNNNNNNNNNNNNNNNNNNUGAAAUGCCUGGACUGAGAAUCUGCAAACCUUUAGUUCUCUGCUUCUAAUUUUUCUGCCUGGGGUGUCUGUUAUCAAAGCCUUAUUUUCUCUCUCUUUUCUUUUAAUAGUGAAGCCAGUCUUCUUAGACUAUUUCUCCCUUGUGUCCCAGAGCCUUUUCUCCAUUGUUUGUAUCCCAGUUUUCUAGAGAGAGUGAUGCAUUCCCAACGUGAAUUAGUGACUUUCAACUGGUGAAUGUAUUCCCUUGGUGAGAGAUCAAUUUGGAGAGGCACUGGUAUCUGAGAUUCCCACUGGGAUGUAGUUCAGUGUUGGGAUCUUAGAGAAGCAGGGGAAAUGCAUUGAUGAGUUUACGUCUGGAUGCAAUUCAGUUCUUUAGAACAGGAGUAAGAAAAUGUCCUUAUAAGUAGAAUGAACUCAGCAGUCCAGAAUUUUUCAGAAAUGAAAAAAGUAGCAGACACUGCCCUCUCUACCUAUAAGAAACAAUGGCUGCUAAACGUAUUAUUAGGUUACAGAUCAUAGGAGGUAAAUAUGAAGUGAAAUUUGCUUAAAACU
rnacentral:lncRNA from 1 species